rnacentral:rRNA from 1 species
AGGUCCAAGUUAUUAAGGGCGCAUGGUGGAUGCCUUGGUAUCUGGAGGCGAAGAAGGCCGUGGUAGGCUGCGUAAAGCGUCGGAUAGGUGCGAACAACCUUUGACCCGGCGAUUGCCGAAUGGGGAAACCCACCCUGAAGAAAUUCAGGGUAUUCUAUUCUUUGAAUAGAAGGUUAACCGAGGGAAGUGACACAUCUCAGUACCUUGAGGAAAAGAUAUUCCGAAAGUAGCGGCGAGCGAAAUCGGAACAGCCUAAACCGAACUGUAUGUUCAAGCGGGCAAGCGUUGUACAGUCGGUGUCGUGGGAUUCAAUCGAAUCUAAUUGCUCUGAGGAUUGUGAAGUUACAAAGUCCUGGUAUAGUUGAAUUCUCCUGGAAAGGGAAACCAUAGAUGGUGAUAGUCCAGUAAACGAAAUCUCAGGGAUCUUCAUUGAUUGAUUUCCCAAGUACUGCGAGAUAGGUUAUCUCGUAGGAAUCUGCCCAAACCACUGGGUAAGGCUAAAUACUCCCAGAUGACCGAUAGUGAACUAGUACCGUGAGGGAAAGGUGAAAAGGACCCCUGGCGGGGAGUGAAAUAGAACCUGAAACUAUGCGUCUACAAUCAGCAGGAAUUUCGAUCCCUUGGAAGCAAUUCUGAGGGGCAAUCGAAAUGACUGCGUGCCUUUUGCAUAAUGAGCCGGCGAGUUACCCUAACCUGCUAGCUUAAUUCCUCUACGAAAGUAGCGGAAGGAGGCGUAGGGAAACCGAGUCUGAAUAGGGCGAUUUAGUAGGUUGGGAUAUUACCCGAAACCCAGUGAGCUACCCAUGGUCAGGAUGAAAUUCCGGUGACACGGAAUGGAGGUCCGAACCGGUGGAUGUUGAAAUAUCCUCGGAUGAACUGUGGGUCGGAGUGAAAGGCUAAUCAAACUGGGUAAUAUCUGGUUCUCCCCGAAAUGCCUUUAGGGGCAGUCUUGGGUGUUCAAUAAUAGUGGUAGAGCUCUGAAUAGAGGAGGACCUUUCGGGGUUCAAAUCCAAUCAAACUUCGAAUGCUAUUACUUAUAAACCCAGGAAUGAGGCAGUGAGGGAUAAGCCCCAUUGCCGAAAGGGGAAUAACCCUGACCGUCAGCUAAGGUCCCUAAGAAUUGAUUAAGUGGUAAAGGAUGUAAGGUGACUUAAACACCUGGGAUGUUGGCUUAGAGGCAGCCAUCAUUUAAAGAAAGCGUAACAGCUCACCAGCCGAGCCGCUUUGCGCCGAAAAUAUACCGGGGCUCAAAUCAAUCACCGAAGCUGCGGCUCAGUAUCUCGCUUUGCGAGAAUACUGGGGGUAGGGGAGCGUUCCAUUGUAGGUUGAAGUUCUGACGUGAGUCAGAAUCGACGAAAUGGAAGUGAUCAUGCCGGCAUAAGUAGCGAUAAUCUCGGUGAAAAACCGAGACACCGAAAGCCCAAGGAUUCCUGGGGAAGGUUAAUCCGCCCAGGGUUAGUCGGUACCUUAGCCGAGGCCGAAAGGCGUAGGCGAUGGAAAAGCCGUUAAUAUUCGGCUACCAUCUUAGUUUCGUUAUGAACUAUGGGGGGACGCUGAUAGUAGAGGUGGGUCCUGUGUUGGAAUACAGGAUCUAAACACUCCAAGGGAGACGCCAGGCAAAUCCAGUGUCUCUUAACCUUGAAGUGUGAUGGGGAGACCCAAAAGGUCAUAAACCCACCUCGAGAUUCAGCCGAGAAAAGCCUCUAUGUCAGAAACUAAGGUGACCGUACCGGAAACGGACACACGUGGGCGAGGUGAAUAUCCUAAGGUGCUCGGGUGAAUCCUCGUUAAGGAACUCGGCAAUUUAGCCCCGUAACUUCGGAAGAAGGGGUCCCACACACGUAUGCAAAUAGGUGUGUGGGCGCAGUGAAAGGGCUCUAGCGACUGUUUAACAAAAACACAGGUCUCUGCUAAGCCGUAAGGCAAAGUAUAGGGACUGACACCUGCCCGGUGCCAGAAGGUUAAAGAAGGUUGUUAAUCUCGGGAUGGACUUCGGUUUAGCCCGGGAUCAAGCUCCCGACUGAAGCCCUGGUAAACGGCGGUCGUAACUCUAACGAUCCUAAGGUAGCGAAAUUCCUUGGCGGGUAAGUUCCGUCCUGCACGAAUGGUGCAACGACUAGAGCGCUGUCUCAACGAGGAGCCCGGCGAAAUUGAAGUGGCGGUGAAGAUGCCGCCUUCCCGUGAUAGGACAAAAAGACCCCGUGAACCUUUACUGCAACUUGCUAUUGAAUUUUUGUGAAGCAUGUGUAGCAUAGGUGGGAGGCUUUGAAAUUUCGGCGCUAGCCGGGAUGGAGCCAACAGUGAAAUACCACCCUUGUUUUAUCAGAGGUUCUAAUCCUGCCUUUGUACGGCGGGAGACAGUGGCAGGCGGGCAGUUUGACUGGGGCGGUCGCCUCCUAAAAUGUAACGGAGGCGCCCAAAGGUUCCCUCAGUCCGGUCGGUAAUCGGACAUUGAGUGUAAGGGCACAAGGGAGCCUGACUGUGAGGCCGACGGGCCGAGCAGAGCGGAAACGCGGGCCUAAUGAUCUGGUGGUUCUGUGUGGAAAGGCCAUCACUCAACGGAUAAAAGGUACUCCGGGGAUAACAGGCUGAUCGGGCUCGAGAGUUCAUAUCGACGGCCCGGUUUGGCACCUCGAUGUCGGCUCAUCGCAUCCUGGGGCUGGAGAAGGUCCCAAGGGUUGGUCUGUUCGCCCAUUAAAGCGGUACGUGAGCUGGGUUCAGAACGUCGUGAGACAGUUCGGACUCUACCCAUCACGGGCGCAGGAGACUUGAAGGGAGCUGUUCUUAGUACGAGAGGACCAGAAUGGACGAACCUCUGGUUUACGAGUUGUUGCGCCAGCAGCAGUGCUCGGUAGCUAUGUUCGGAAGGGAUAACCGCUGAAAGCAUCUAAGUGGGAAGCCCCCCCUAAGAUAAGGUCUCCCGUUCCUUCACAGGCAACUGUGAGAAACCAUAAGACAACCUGGAGACUACAGGUUUGAUAGGCCAUAGGUGUAAGUGCAGUAAUGUAUUGAGCCAAGUGGUACUAAUCAGUCGAGCGACUUGGAUUUC